rnacentral:rRNA from 1 species
ACGGAAGGCAGCAGUGGGGAAUAUUGCACAAUGGGGGAAACCCUGAUGCAGCAACGCCGCGUGAAGGAAGACGGUCUUCGGAUUGUAAACUUUUGUUCUUAGUGAAGAUAAUGACGGUAGCUAAGGAGCAAGCCACGGCUAACUACGUGCCAGCAGCCGCGGUAAUACGUAGGUGGCAAGCGUUGUCCGGAAUUACUGGGUGUAAAGGGAGCGCAGGCGGGAAAUCAAGUUGGAUGUGAAAUGUCGGGGCUUAACCCCGGAACUGCAUCCAAAACUGAUUUUCUUGAGUGAAGUAGAGGUAGGCGGAAUUCCGAGUGUAGCGGUGAAAUGCGUAGGUAUUCGGAGGAACACCAGUGGCGAAGGCGGCCUACUGGGCUCUAACUGACGCUGAGGCUCGAAAGUGUGGGGAGCAAACAGGAUUAGAUACCCUGGUA